AUCGAUGAAGAACGCAGCGAAAUGCGAUAAGUAAUGUGAAUUGCAGAUUUUCAGUGAAUCAUCGAAUCUUUGAACGCACCUUGCGCUCCUUGGUAUUCCGAGGAGCAUGCCUGUUUGAGUGUCAUU
rnacentral:rRNA from 1 species